AUUGAACGCUGGCGGAAUGCUUUACACAUGCAAGUCGAACGGCAGCACGGACUUCGGUCUGGUGGCGAGUGGCGAACGGGUGAGUAAUACAUCGGAACGUGCCCAGUCGUGGGGGAUAACGUAGCGAAAGCUACGCUAAUACCGCAUACGAUCUACGGAUGAAAGCGGGGGAUCGCCAGACCUCGCGCGAUUGGAGCGGCCGAUGGCAGAUUAGGUAGUUGGUGGGGUAAAGGCUCACCAAGCCGACGAUCUGUAGCAGGUCUGAGCGGACGACCAGCCACACUGGGACUGGUACACGGCCCAGACGCCUACGGGAGGCAGCAGUGGGGAAUUUUGGACAAUGGGCGCAAGCCUGAUCCAGCCAUUCCGCGUGCAGGAUGAAGGCCCUCGGGUUGUAAACUGCUUUUGUACGGAACGAAAAGGCUCUGGUUAAUACCCGGGGCUCAUGACGGUACCGUAAGAAUGAGCACCGGCUAACUACGUGCCAGCCGCCGCGGUAA
rnacentral:rRNA from 1 species